GUACAGACGGACAAGGGUAAAAACUUAAUGCCCCCCUCCGCUACGGCAUGGGCAUAAAAAUUGCAUGAAAUUUAAUAAACUGCUUCGCUGAGCGCAGCUAGAUACGCCCGCAGAGGUCCAACCCUGAACAGUUGGGGCAAAAAUGGACACAAUAUUCAAGCUUGAUUCAGGUCUGAAUUUGGAUUGUAAUUAAAUAUUUGACAUAUUAUAGGUUUCUCAAUAAAUGUAGUCAAAGAACUUGAAAUUGGUUAUAUGAAUUGAAUUUAUAUUCAAUUAAAGAUUUCUUGCUGUUGUGCAAUACCUAGUAAAUCUGUUGUCAGACUAUAAGCAAAUAAAGUUCAAUUAAUUCUCAAUGUCAUACUAGAAAUUUAUGAAAAUAAAAAGGGAGCUUACAUCAAUAGAUAUAAACAAUUCACCAAAGUUUCAUGAGAAUUGGUGACAGCAUGUUUACGUUAUUGUCUGAAAACUGGAAAAUCACCCCUUUUUUUAAUGAAUAAAACCCCAUAACUCAGAAAUGUAAAAUUUAAAAUUUAUAAAAUUCUAAGGGGGGCUUACAUCAAUACAUACAAACAAUUCACCAAAGUUUCAUAAGAAUUGCUGAAAGCAUUUUUGAGUUUUUGUCCGAAAACUGGAAAAUCCCCCCUUUUUUUAUGAAUAAAACCCUGUAACUCGGAAACGUAAAAUCUAAAAUUUAUAAAAAUCAAAAGGGAGCUCAUGUCAAUAGAUAUAAACAAUUCACCGCAAUUUCUUGCAAGUUGGUGAAGGCAUUCUUGACUUAUUGUCCCAAAACUGGAAAAUCCCCCUUUUUUUAAUAAAUAAAACCCCAUAACUCGGAAAUGUAAAAUCUAAAUUUUAUAAAAAACGAACGGGAGCUCACGUCAAUAGAUAUAAACAAUUCACCAAAGUUUUAUGCAAAUUGGUUAAAGCAUUUUUGAGUUAAUGUCCGACAUGUUGACGACGGACAGACGGACGGACGGACAGAGGUAUACCAUAAUACGUCCCGUAAACGGGCAUAUAAAAAAUCACAACCAGAAAUGUAUUAUGGAUGAGGGUAUUACCAACGAAUUCUGGUCUAUACAGCCUGAGAAAACUUCACUGUCCUGAACAAACUAGUUUUUCUAAAAUUUUCACAGUCCAAAUGUUAUAGCAGAUGACAAAAUUAACCAUAUUUCUAUCAUGUUAUUUACUAUUUAGUUUCAAAUUAAUGAGUACAAGCUGUUUUUAAUAUGUUUAAGACAAUAAAUCAAUUAAUUUGUAAUAUUUUUGACGUAAAAAAAAAUGUAUAAAAACAAAUCAAAUAUAUUAGGUCUAUUUUUAGCAUAACCCUAUGAACCAUGUGUUUAUGAUCCUAAAAAUUAAGUUUUUACACACGGUUGUACUAUAAAUAGAAAGUAUACUAUUAAAUUUUCUUAGAAAUGAUUGUAAAUUAACCUUUCUACUAUAUUCAACAUAUAUAUAGAACUUUGAAAGCAGGAAUAUUAUAUAAACAGCAAACAACAUUUAUAUGCUACUAUGAUAUAUUUGUCAUCUUCUAUUAUAGUAAUAGUAUUACGUAAUAGACACUGGGUCUUCUGGAAUCUAAGCUAACUCUUCAAAACUUACUUAUUCAUAUGAUCCCCAAGGCUUAAAAAACUGAGAAACAAAUGUUUUUUUGCCACUCUUUACUGCAAAAGCCUUUUUUUUGCAUUAUUUUUGAAAUCUUCAAAAAAUAUAACAUUGCAACAAAAUCAAUUAAAUCUCGGAAAAUUAUGGAUAUCACAUUGCUAUUUUUUACACAUAGUUAUUUUCUUUUUUUUCAGAUGAAUACUCCAAUCAAAUAACCUGUUAUUCACUGAUAUCUAUUCACAAUGAACAGCAAAUUAACAAAUUAAAUCAACACAGAAUGAAUACUAACCAACAAAAAAAUUGCACACUUAUGCUAAAACACACUUCAGAAUGUCACUCUCAUGGUUUUAUUUACAUUUUGAACGAAAAAAAAGAUAUCAAAAUGUAAUGAAUAUAAAAAUGCUGGUUAUUUCUUAAAAGUGUGCUUUUUCAAUGAACAAUUUGACAUGAGGUAAGUUAGUCUGACACAAUCAAUCUGUCUUAUUUUAAUGCAUUUUAUUUUGGUUUAAAGCCAUCAUUUUCACCAGCAUUCAAUAUGAACUGUUAUUUUUCUGUAAAUCAUUUAACUAGUUAUAUUCUAUUAUUUCUAAUUUCAAAAAAAUUCACAAAUUAAAUAUUUAUCCCUUUUAACCAUACAUCUUACUAAUAAAUCAACUAAAGUAUUGGUUUUUUUUUAAAUAAAAAUAAGCAAAGACAAAACAACUGCCCUAUUUCAUCAAAUAAUUGAUGAAGUUUCAUUUAUGGCUGACUAAUUAAUAAUCAAUUAAGCUGUGACAGGCAAGAAUUUUUUGGUGCAAUUUUUAAAUUAUUCAACUGUGCUUUCAAAUAUCUAAAAAUAAACAUACUAGUGAAUAAAGGAUUGUCUGUGGAAUAACUGCAUUAUACUUGCAAUACAAUCACAUCAAAACAUUCAUUGGUUAAACAUUCAAACUGGUAUCAAAUUUUUCUAUAUUUUUUUUCCUUUUAAACAAUCAAAUUAGAUUAAAUCUACAACAUUAUAAUAAAAUACUAUUUUUUUCAUUUUCAAUUGAGCUAUAAAACAGUAUACUAGAUAUUAAAUUAUUUCAUGUCUGCAAAUGAUGUCAAAUAUUUGCUGACCACUGACAAUACCAGUGUACAUGAAAGUUGUGCCAAAGGUACAAAUCUGCAUUGGCAAUAUAAUAUGUUGCUUUAAAAUUUCAAAAAAAUAAAACAGUUUUGAAUGUUUUGCCUUUUCUGGAAACAGCUCCUUUCAAGUCUCAUUCACACUCAUCAAUCACAACUGAUUUUGAUCUUUACUUCCUCAUAAUUGCAUCAUCCCAUACAAAAUAAAUAAAGCAAUUUUACAACAUGGUCCAAAUUCAUUUGAAACAGAUAAUUAUUUUUUUUAGCAUACAAAAAGAUUUCAAAUCAGUCUGAACUAUUUAAACAACAAAAAUCUUAAACUGUGGCAGCUAUGUGGAAUUACACUUUUUAAAUAUAUUUUUAUUAAAACAAAAAAAUAAACAAGAAAA